ACUGUGAUUCCCUUAGUAACUGCGAGUGAAGCGGGAUAAGCCCAUCGUUUAAUCUUCCCGGACUGUGGACGGGACGACAUGUAACGGUAUGGAUAGGUUCUCUAUCAACUCUGGCUGGUCAAAGUCCUCCGGAUUGAGGUGCCAAAGAGGGUGACAGCCCCGUGUGUGACUGGAAAGAGUUGAGUAUGUGGCCGAUUCCGAGAGUCGGGUUGUUUGGGACUGCAACCUAAAGCAGGUGGUAAACUCCACCCAAGGCUAAAUAUUGACACGAAACCGAUAGCGAAUAAGUACUGUGAAGGAAAGUUGAAAAGAACUCUGAAAAGAGAGUUAAAAGUACGUGAAACCGCUAACGGGGAAGCGGAAGGCAGUGUCGAGAUUGGGUGAGUGAGUUGUCUCAAGUUGAUUUUUAAUUAAUUUGGGGCGACUAGCUUUGCUCGAUGCGUCAGGACUAUUGGUGUGCGGUGGCUCAAUUGUCGGCAUGGCUUCCACGACACUCAUGCGCAUGAACUUGUGUGUGGGCUCGUGGUUGCGGCAGGCAAUCCGCCUCGUGCGCUGAUAUGGAUGUGGUGAGGCGUUGGUGAUGUAGUGUCGGUUGGUGUUGUGUGGUGCUCCGCGUAGUCACAGUGUGGCUACGUGUGGAGAAGUCAUGUGAUAGUUCAACAACCAGUGCCAGGGCCUGACGUGAUACCUAACCUUC
rnacentral:rRNA from 1 species